UCAUGGGCGAGAGCCUGAACCAGCCAAGUAGCGUGAAGGAUGAAGGCUCUANGGGUCGUAAACUUCUUUUAUAUGGGAAUAAAGUAUUCCACGUGUGGAAUUUUGUAUGUACCAUAUGAAUAAGGAUCGGCUAACUCCGUGCCAGCAGCCGCGGUAAUACGGAGGAUCCGAGCGUUAUCCGGAUUUAUUGGGUUUAAAGGGAGCGUAGGUGGAUUGUUAAGUCAGUUGUGAAAGUUUGCGGCUCAACCGUAAAAUUGCAGUUGAAACUGGCAGUCUUGAGUACAGUAGAGGUGGGCGGAAUUCGUGGUGUAGCGGUGAAAUGCUUAGAUAUCACGAAGAACUCCGAUUGCGAAGGCAGCUCACUAGACUGUUACUGACACUGAUGCUCGAAAGUGUGGGUAUCAAACAGGAUUAGAUACCCUGGUAGUCCAAGGGCGAAUUC
rnacentral:rRNA from 1 species